rnacentral:rRNA from 1 species
AGGAUUUACUGGGGGUAAAGGGGGCGUAGGUGGAUAUUUAAGUGGGAUGUGAAAUACCCGGGCUCAACCUGGGUGCUGCAUUCCAAACUGGGAAUCUAGAGUGCAGGAGGGGAGAGUGGAAUUCCUAGUGUAGCGGUGAAAUGCGUAGAGAUUAGGAAGAACACCAGUGGCGAAGGCGACUCUCUGGACUGUAACUGACGCUGAGGCUCGAAAGCGUGGGGAGCAAACAGGAUUAGAUACCCUAGUAGUC